AGUCUUGGGAAGAUGAUCAUUGUCCCUGAAGAUGACCACUGAAGAUCAUUGCUCUCCAGCCUUGCCUCAUGAUUGGAAUCAGCUGGGGAACUCUGUAAAGCAGCUCGCUCCUGGCUUUGUCUCCUAGAACAGUGGUUCCCAGCUUCAUCCGCCCCCUGGGAUCACCUAGGGAACGUUUAGCAAUCCAGACAUACAGGCCACACUGCAGACUGAAUCAAAAUCUCUAGGACUCAGGUGUGAGUAUUUUUUUGAAGCUCCCCUGUGAUUUCAAUGUGCAGUCGAGGUUUGAGUGACUGUGCUGGAGACUGAUUCCAGAAGUCAGGGGUGGUGACCAAGAAUCAGUAUUUUUAGGACGAGCUCCAGAUGAUUCUUGUGAACACAAAGUUUGGAAGUUACUAAAUUUGAUAUAUAGGGAUCUAUUUCAAAUUAUUUAAAGAACCAUCUACAUUUGACUUCAUACUAAACGGUGCAAAAAGGUGCCUGACAACAAUUCCCGGCUGUGUGUUGGACUUGGAAAUGCUCAAAGAAAACUAGUGACACAGAAUCAUUACCUGCAAAGAGCUGAAAUGGUGAACUUGGAAGUAGGGUGUGGAGACCUACAGAGUCGAGCUGUCACUUUGGUGGCUUUCCCAUCAUAUGGGUCUCUCUAAUGUCUGAAAAAGAUCACACGACUUUUCCCAACGUUAUAAACCUUCUUCUGUGAUUUAUUUCUCAGUUUAUGGACUGGUU
rnacentral:lncRNA from 1 species